GCUUUUGAUCAGAACCUGUCUCCUAUAUGCAUAUCUAUCAGAAUUAAAUAGGUGGUCAAAAACUGUCGACAAACUAAUGUAUGGGCCUGGUCGUAAAGUGCAGUCUAAAUUUCCAUUGUAGGGACCGUACAACUCUCGUCCUUGCCAGUACGUGUGCGUGAUCCAGGCAAUGUCAAGUACGCCCACCGCUUACUAUUGCUAAUAUUCACCCUUAACAUCCGCUAGCCCAGUCCGUAACAAUGCAAGAUAACUGCCACCAUUAACAGUCUAUCUGUAAGCAGAAUUAAAUUGAGUGCAUUCAACAACAACACAACAGAAAACGAAACGAAACGAAACCAAAAGUAAAUGCGAAAUACUACAAAAAUCUGUUACAAGUUCGAAUAAACCCGCAGCAAAGAUACUCCGAAAAUGAGGCGCACUCUUUGGCACAUGCUCACGGCCCAGCUCCUGCUCCUGGUACUCUGUUCGCUGCUCUCUCUCUGCUCCGGCGGCAAUAUGCAUCCUUUGAAAGUGGGCAAAAACUAUGCGUCGCUGCACAACCAGCCCAAGGACUUUCGCUCUUUAGUGAUGGAUAUUAGCAAGUUUGUUCUCACUAUUGUGAGCAGAACGCGUUGAGUCACGUUUUUUUUUGUUUAUUGUUAAUUUUUUUUGAGCACGUAUUCCUUAUUUAUAGAAAGCAAAAGCUUUUUCCUCCAUCUAAUCUGUCCAAAGAUCUGACUAGUACCAUAUCUAUUACUAAGCUGGCGUCGAGAUUUGAAUUCCAAUCUGAGUCCUGCCCCCCAUUCAAUUCAGAGUUCCAAAAUUCUCCAUUAAAGACCGACAGAAAGGCCAGCGACCAGCAGAUCAGUGCAGAGACCGACAAUCAUUGCCAAAGCAACGCAAAGCCUGGCCUCGAACUGAAUUUACAAUAAAAAUUCUUAAUUCUUGGUACAAAAAUUUCUGUAUUUAGCUGAUGAAAAUAAUUU
rnacentral:sRNA from 1 species